AACGAACCUACCACGGAACUCCGUUACAGGAAGUAGGUCCGAGUUGGGUGUAUUGUUGUCACGGAACUUGCUCGCUGGGUUUUAAAUUUGCCCCGUCGUUUGCCUUGGCCCGCAUACCGCCUCUCUGUGUUUUUGUUCAUCCGAUUUACCCGACAGGCGAGCAGAGACGCCGAGGAGCUUUAGGAAUGCCGCCUAAAAAGCGCCACUCCGGGCUGACAGGGAGCAGGGAGCCGAAGCCCGACGCUGACAGCGCCUCUUCUCCCGACAAGCAGGAGAGCCCAGAGUUAUCUGAAGAAAAACACAGAGACAAGAAUGCCGAGUUUGUGAGUCUGUGUAAGAGCCUCCACGUCUCAGACCUGUUGUGCGACCGAGCCUGGCACCUGUGGAGAACCGUUCAAGAAUCCAUGGAUAAAGCCCCUGGCAGCCAGGAAAGACUGUGGGCCGCUUGUCUGUUCGUUACGGUGACAGACAUGGACGUCGGCUGCUUUACUGUCACUCAGGUCCUGAAAGCUGUCAGACUGAAUUUAAAGCAGUUCUUGGAUGUGGUGAGACAGCUGGACGUGAACCUCGACACUAUAACCACCAAGGUCAACUCCAGACUGACACGACUGGAGAAGAAGUACGACGUAAUGCUGGCUCUUUACCAAAGAUUUGAGAAAACUUGCAAGAGUAUCUUUGUUCUCACCCCAGACGGCAGGGAGAGGGAGACCAUGCGGACCUGCUGGACCAUGUUUCUUUUGGCCAAAGGAAGGGCCCUGCAGAUGGAGGAUGACCUGGUCAUAUCCUUCCAGCUGCUGCUUUGCACGCUGGAGCUGAUCAUCAAGCGCUGCUCUCCAGACCAGUUACAGCCUCUUUAUCAAUCCGCCGUUAGCAAGGUCCAGAGCCCGCCAACACGAACGUCGCGGCGCAGCCAGAGCAAAGCAAAGUCCCGGCCCGCGGAGCCCGAGGUCGACGCGCGGCUCCUGGAAACCCUGUGCAAAGACAACGAAUGCAACAUCGAAGAGGUGAAGAACGUCUACAACACCAGCUUCCUGGCCUUUCUAGACUCCAUGGAUCUUUCGAGAGCCGCCGGCGUUCCUCAGGCGAAGGACAUCAACCGGCUGUAUGAAGAGCACUACCUCAAGAGCAGAGACGUCGACGGGCGUCUGUUCUUUGACGGGGACGAGAGCGUUCUGCCUCCUAAAGUCCAGAUAUCGCAGGUGGAGAGAACGCCAAAGAAGAACCAGCCAGAUGAAGAUGGGCCAAUGAUCCCUCCUCCGACUCCGAUCAGAGCGGCCAUGACCUCCAUCCAGAUGCUGCGGGGAGAUCUCCCCUCCAACGGGGACCGGCCUUCUGCCACCCUCGCCACAUAUUUCAAAAACUGCACCGUGGACCCGACGCAGGACGUGCAGAAGCGUUUGGAGACGCUGGGACAGGCGUUUAGCCAGAAGUUUGGCGAGGCCGCGGGGCCGCACUGCGUCGUCUACGGCCAGCAGAGAUUUGGCCUCGCCGUGAGAUUAUACUACAAAGUGAUGGAGGCGAUGCUGAAAUCGGAAGAGAAGCGUCUGUCUGUUCAAAAUUUCAGUAAACUCCUCAAUGACGCCACGUUUCACACAUCCCUCCUGGCCUGUUCUUUGGAGGUGGUCAUGGCAACAUAUGAAGAGAGUAGUUUCAAGAACGGCGGAGGUGACCAAACCGGAACCAACUUGUGCUUCCCGUGGAUCCUGAACGUCCUCAACCUCUCCGCCUUCGACUUCUACAAGGUGAUCGAGAGCUUCAUCAAGGCGGAGCCCACGCUGAGCAAAGACAUCAUCAAACACCUGGAGACCUGCGAGAACCUCAUCAUGGAGAGGAUCGCCUGGAGGACGGGCUCCCCGCUGUUCGAGCUCCUGCAGCAGGAGCAUGCGAGCGCAGCAGCAGAGCCGGUGGAGACCACAGCCAGUUUCAGCCAACCGCUGCAGCACAACCACACCGCCGCUGACCUAUAUCUCUCCCCUGUGCGCCAAGGCUUGCGGGUCUUGCCUUCCGAUUCCCCGGCCACGCCCCCCCAGCAGCCCACCGCCUCUCAGUCCAGCUCCCAGGCCCCCUGCCAAGCUCCAAGGCAGCCGAAAUCCAACUCCCUCAGUCUUUUCUAUAAGAAAUUGUACCGCCUGGCCUAUACGAGGCUAAAGACACUCUGCUCCUACCUGCUGUCCUCUCACCCUGAACUGGAGCCUAUAAUAUGGACCCUGUUCCAGUACACCCUGCAGCACGAGUACGAGCUGAUGAGAGACCGCCACCUGGACCAGCUGAUGAUGUCAGCCAUGUACGCCAUAUGCAAAGUGAAGAGCGUCGACCUGCGCUUCAAGUCCAUUGUCUCGGCCUACAAGAACAUGGCCAACACCAACCAGGAGACCUUUAAGAACGUGCUGAUCACCGAAGGCCACUAUGACUCCAUCAUCGUCUUCUACAACCAAGUAUUCAUGCAGAAGUUGAAAACGAAUAUCCUGCAACAUGCGUCCACCAAGCCGCCUCCGCCCUCUCCGAUCCCUCAAAUGCCUCGCAGCCCAUACAAGUUCCCCAACUCUCCUCUGCGCGUGCCUGGGAGCAACAACGUCUACAUCUCCCCUCUGAAGAACUCCCGCAUGUCUCCGGGUAUCAUGACUCCUCGCUCCAGAAUGCUGGUGUCCAUUGGCGAAUCGUUUGGGCUGAGCAAUCGCUUCCAGAAGAUCAACCAGAUGGUCAACAGCAGCGAACGCUCCCACAAGAGGACGAUGGACUCAGGCUCCACUCUGAAGCCUCUGAAGAGGCUUCGCUUCGACAUGGACGGUCAGGAUGAAGCCGACGGCAGCAAACCUGGAGGAGAUUCAACCCUGAUACAGAAACUUACAGAGAUGAGCUCCACUUGGAGUCGCAUGCACGAGCAGAAGAUGAAGGAGGACCCCGACACGAGGGAGGAGCCGCAGUGAGGACCGACCUGCACUGUUCGUCACGUUGUGAACACUACUGGUAGCUCAAAGAUGGAGGCAGACGUGAAUCUUCUCUGUACAUUUGAUGUGUUUUAGUUUGUAUUUAACUUGGCUCAGCCAGCAACCUGAGAAUGCAGGAGACUUUCUUGGCUUUUUGUGUUUAGGCUUUUGAGUGUUUUUACCGCGCAAUUUUUAUUGUAGUUCCUUGGACUUUUGACAACGAACAUUCAUUUGGUUUUAGCGAUCUUAGUUGGCUGCUGUCGAGGAAGCCUUUUGUUUCCCCUUCACCUAUGUCAAAAGCCUUGAUCAUGAUGCAGCAUUUCCAUUGUUAAAUCAUGGUUGUAUAGGAAACAGAGGAAAAUGUUUUGCUUUGCAGUUCAAGUCCUAAAUUAACAACGCUGCACUCAGUGGGGGUUUUUCACACGGGGGCGUUAUGGCUCACCGGCCAAGGCCUUUUCUCAGGGGGCUGCACCAACGCCCAGAGAAAACAAGUUUUCUGGAGUUCCUUUGUGUUUCAAAAUUCCUGUUUCGUGCUUAAUGAAGUACUUCUCAUUGUUAAUAAGGUAGCUAGACGGCAUCUGGUCAUCUCAAGUUCAAAAACCUAAAACUUUUUAAAUAGGUUACGUCUGAACACUGGACAAAGAUUCAUUGAAUCACUGAGAUCCAUUCAACCCCUCUUUUGGUUGUAAAAAGAAAAAGAAACAUUUCUAAUCCUUUUUGACAACCUUUAAUUGAGAGUGACUUGGAAACCACAAUAUUCUGCAUUGAAUAAUUUAUGCACAAUGAUUGCAGAUUUUCUAAAAAGACGAUUUUAAUUCAUGAAACUCAUACACGCACCACACGGGAUGCAGAAAGAGGAGCACACCCAGGGCAGCAUGCAUGGAGGGAACCGCCUCUGAUCGCACACAGCAGGCGGUAAAACAUGAUGAACAAACAGAGAGGACACAGGAAAUCUUUCCAUGUGGCGUAAAAUGUGCAGCUUUCUGAUGUUUGCGGCUCGUUUUUUUUUUUUUUUUUUUUUUUUUAAAAGAACAAAUACACUUCAAAUGCAAACACUUCCUACUGGAUUUAAGCUGAAUUAUCUAUUAAACACUCCCUUUUUUUUCCUUUACACUUGUUAUAUUUGGAAAUAGAAGUAAAAGAUCUAGAGAGAGGGAGAGGAAUGCAUUAUUGAUCAUGUGUAGAAAGAGAAUAGAGCAGUAUGUUUUGUAAAAAUAAAUGUGUUUAUAGUCUAAUCUAUUUACUAGGUUCCAGAAGACGGAAACGAUGUAGGAAAACAUUCAAGUUCUGAGUGCAUCUGUUUUUUCAUUUGUUGAAAGCUGUUGUUUUUUUUCCUGCUGUGUUGGUUAAACUGAUUAUUGGAGGAGGAAAAAAAGGAUUGCACAGCUGAUUUGAUUUCUGGUUUGUGUUUUUCUUGAAAUAUACCACUUUUCAAAUUUU